GCCCGGCGGCCGCAAGGAGUCUCCCAAGUUUCUCCGAGCCCCGCGCCCGCGCCCGCGCCCAGGAGCUACGGCCCGGGUCGUGGGGGCGGCGGCCCGAGCGGCGUCCGGGGACUCGAGCCCCGACCUCCAGCCCCCGCGGCGGCGGCGGCGGCGGCGGCGGCGGCGGCGGCGGCGGCGGGAGCCCGGCUCGGCGAGGGGGCGGGGGCGGGCGCGGGACGGGCGGCGGAGGAGGGCGGCGCGGCGAGGGGGAGGAGCCGCGGCGACGGACGGCGGCGCGCACCAACCCGGCGCAGGCUGGCAGGAGCGCGCAGAGGCUGGCCCGGGCGCGCUGCAGCCGCUCGGCGUAGGGGGAGUCGGGUAGCAGCAUCCUCCCGGGCGCCGCUUUCGCGCGCGGCGGCGGCGGCGGCGGCGGCGGCUUCCUCUGCCUCCUCUGCCCCGAGACCUCGUUGGCCCGGAGCGGCUGGUGCCGGGGGGCGGGCCGGCAAGGGGGCGCUGCGGACUCGGGCUCCCCGGCCGACUGCUGUGCGCGGCGAGCCCUCCCGGGCCAGUCGGAGGCUGCGGAGCGGCGGGCGCCGCCGGCAAUGCCGGCCCGGGCAUCCUCCGAGUGAUGGGAGAAGCCGCCGCCGCCGCCGCCGCCGCUGCGGGGUCGCGCUGCGCCCCAUCCGCCGCCGCCGGAGGGAUGGGAAGAUUCCGGGCGCGGAGGCCGAGAGCCGGGAAGGCGGAGCCGCUCUGCCGGGAGCUGGGUCCCGCCUGAGCCCCCUCCCCCCGCCGGCUUCGCCCCCCGGGGCGAGGAAGGAAGCUGCGGUCUCGAGAGGGCGGCGGAGGCGCCUGGAGCCGGGCGCGCUGGGCUCGGCGAGCGCGGAGCGGGCUUCCAGGCCCCGUGAAAGUUUCCCUUCCCGAGCCGCGGGGCGCCCGCCGCCCGGAAACUGCCCGGGGCGUGGGCUGCACGGCCCCGCGGCCCCCCGCGAGGCGGGGACUCCCGGGACAGACCGUGCGCGAGAAGUCGGGGAGCGGGCGGCAGCAGCAGCGACCAGCCGGCCGUGA
rnacentral:lncRNA from 1 species